GAUGAAGAACGCAGCGAAAUGCGAUACGUAAUGUGAAUUGCAGAUUUCAGUGAAUCAUCGAAUCUUUGAACGCACAUUGCGCCCGCUAGUAUUCUGGCGGGCAUGCCUGUUCGAGCGUCAUUUCAACCAUCAAGCCCUGUGCUUGUGUUGGAGCCCUGCGGCUGCCGCAGGCUCCCAAACCCAGUGGCGGGCUCGUCGUCGUACCGAGUGCAGUAAACAUACCACGCUCAGGGCACGCGACGGGUGACCGGCCGUAAAACCCCCCCCCUUCUCAAGGUUGACCUCGGAUCGGGUAGGGAUACCCGCUGAACUUAAGCAUAUCAAAAGCGGAGGA
rnacentral:misc_RNA from 1 species